GGGGAGGAUUCAGGACAGUUGAACAUUCCUGGACAUCACUGGGGACCUAAUCCUAACUUGGUCUUAGUUUGCUGGCAACACUGAAAGGAGAUCUGAGGGAUCGUUCCUGAAAUGGGGCACAUUUUGGAAUGAAGGAGUAUUUUUGAAAUAAAAACUGAGGUUUAAGAUGAUAAACUGGGUACUAGCGAUGAAUCCUUAAAAGGAAGAUGCUUUGUGAAAAGAGCUUCAAGUGGGAACUGAAGAGCCCUUAUCCCUGCUAUAAAUUUGUUAUGUGUCUUGGGGUAAGUACUUUUUCCUUUCUGGACCUCACUUUUACAACCUGUAAAAUGAGCUGUUUAGACCACGGUGUUCUCAAAAUCUCUGCCAAGCAUAUAUGUGGUGAACUCGGUUGUUGGUUUUACCACCCAACAUCUCCUCCUUUCUUUGCGGCAUCAUAUUCAGUUUUGUUUGGGGCACCUGCCCUUCCCACCUUCAAUGUCUAAGCUUUACUUCAGUGGUUCAUUUAGAAUUUAGAAGGAAAAAAAUAAGGCAGGUGUCUAAUCCAUCCUGACAUUGCAAUCUUGCUGGCUCAUAAAAAUAAUCUGCAAAUGCUAAGUGGUUUUCUAGACAAACCCUCAGGCUCUUCUUUCCUCUGCCCCAUUUCAGAUCCAAGUGUGCUCUGUAGUGAAUACCUAAGAGGCUCCUUUUGUCUAAGAACUGUCCUUCCUGUCAUCUACACAGUCACCACAGAAGCCAUCCCAGAAGGAUGUGACAACCUCACCUGGACCAGGGUUUACCCAAAGUAAACCAAUCACAGAACUCCCUGCCUAAGGCCAGGUGUGAUGGUGCAUGCCUAUAAUCCCAGCAGAGAAUGGACACGAGUUUGAGGCCAGCCUGGGAUGCAUAGUGAGUUCAAGAAUAGGCAGAACUACAAAGCGAGACCCUGUCUCAAAAAGAAAAAAAAGAAUUAUUGCCUAGACAGAGUUAAUUGGUCCACACUGUAAGCCCCUGGUCCAAGCAGACUUAUCUGAACCCUUAAAGGCUUGUGUACAUAAAAACAUCCGUGGGAGUUUGGGG
ensembl:lncRNA